AAAAACAAUAAAAUAUGAACGUAUACCAUUAAGACUUAAGAAGAAAAUUUUAUUCUAAAUGUUUAAAUACAUAUAGGAAAAAAACCCUACAAACUACACAUAUUUUUCUAUCUUCAUUUCCAGUGACCCAAGGCUACUUUGAGGAAAUAAAACAAACCAUGAAGAAAUAGUCUAAAGCAAUUCAUCAUCAACAAAUACGUAGAACCAAAUCUUUCUAGGUAUUAUCAAAUAAGGAAAUAUUUCACUGUAGCUGAGCUAACUUAUUAAAGAAACAAGUAUAUAUCAAUGUGUACAGCAACGUUCUAAGCACUACCAAGCAUAAGAGUAGAAUAAACAAAAUCUGAUUCAAAGCAGUUUCUAACCUACUUUGUAAAGACAUGAAAGAGUAAUUCAUAAUACUAGACAGUAUACAGAAGAAAGUACAUAUAGAAAGGAGUUUCUAGCUCUGUUGUAUAGUAACAGUGAUGGAAAUACUGGUAUUUAAAGUAUGUUUUGUUGAAUAAGUUACAAGCCAAAAUAUCAUUAAUAACAAUAGGAAAUUAGAACUUAGUAUUAUGAUGAAGUGAGGAGAAAAACAUAAAUUUUCCUGAAAAAGUCAGAAAAGGCUUCAGAAAGGUGUUGAAGAAGACUCAACAAAAGGUUAUUUCUGCAAAUAUAUUUAUUAACUAAUGGAUUUUUACUGUCAUAGUCUUGAUAGAUGCAAUGGAAGAUUUUUAAAAUCUGAGUAAAAUCCAGUCCUUAUACAGUUUAAUGGUGGUGAAGUAUAUAUACAUAUAAACCAAGAGUAAGACAAAAUUA